ACGCUCGACACCUACGUGAGGCAGCAGUGGGGAAUAUUGCACAAUGGGGGAAACCCGUGAUGCAGCAACGCCGCGUGAAGGAAGACGGUUUUCGGAUUGUAAACUUCUGUUCUUAGUGAAGAUAGUGACGGUAGCUAAGGAGCAAGCCACGGCUAACUACGUGCCAACAGCCGCGGUAAUCUGAGCGGGCUGGCAAGGC
rnacentral:rRNA from 1 species